rnacentral:lncRNA from 1 species
GCUUUGCACAAAUCCCUCCCCUCAUGAAAAAAAAUGAAAAUAUCCCCUCUGGCAUUUUCUGAGGAAAACAUUUUAGUUCCUCCGUUAUAAAUGUUCUGUGUAAAUGUUUAAUUUAGCUUAGUUUAGAACAAAUGCCUUAAAAAUAUAUCAAGAUUGAAACAAAAGGUUGUUUGGGGUCAACCCAGCAUGUUUUCUUUGUUUUGUUUUGUUUUUCUUUUAAUCUCAUCAAAAAAUAAAAUGAAAAUAUAUUUUUUUCAGGUGGAGCCACAUCACAUUAAAAAAUGUCCUUAAUUCUCUACUGGAACUGCAGGUGAACUAAAAGUCUGUUACCCACUGACUUUGCGUGCAAAGCGGUCUCGCAAUUAGUUCAGAUGACACAGCAAAGAGGUAAUGUCUCUGGAAUGACAUUUGCAGUGAAUAAAAGGCUUUUAAGCUGAUGUUAGAAGCGUGAAAUGUCAGCUGGCUGCCGCUGGGGCAGGGACACCAGGCAACUUCACAAGCUGCUUUCUGUCGUCUCUGCCAGAGAGGACGUUUCAGCAGGUUUGGAAGUGAACAAACAAGACUUCCAUGACACCAUAGCAAGGGAUUUGUGACGUUGCUGAGAAGUGCAGCCAUUGCCACUAGGCUGGACUGGCUGGGGUGGCCUCUGCAGGAGCAUCAGGGCAGAGACAGCAGCUGGGGUACGUGGCUCCUCUCAUGAAAGCCAGUCUGGAGAUGCAUGUGCCCUGCCAGCCCUUCCCGAUGAAGUGCAAAAGGGGAUAAGAGAGUGUUCAAAUGCAAGUCUGCCCUCUGGACAUCCAUGGCAAGGGAGCAAAGCCACUGAAACAGAGGAGUUCUGGGUGGGAUUCACUGCCCCCCAGCCCAGGCACCGAGGUGGAGGUAUGGCUCUUGCUGGAGUCGUGUGGGCUCUACCGAGCAUCCCAGUGUGGUGGGACAGGCAGGGUGGACAGGAAUCCCUCCAGCAUCUCCUGGUGACUUCUGGUCUGAAUGAGGAUCCUGGCUGGCAGCCCCACAUCUGCACACCCUUGUGAGCAGGGCCAAAAAUCUGGGUUCAGCCACGGGGAAGGCACAGGGGGAGGGAUGGGGAUGGGAGAAGUGCUGCUCUCCUCUGCUGCUUCAGCUCUGGGAGUGCGUCAUUACUUCCAAAAGUGCAAGCCAGAAAGUAAAAAUGAAAGACGAAAGUUUUGAAUGAAAUAAAGCAUUCCAUUCAGAUUUGGUCA